AUGGUUGGGCUUGCUACAAAGUUUUAUGCUAAUGAUUUCACAAGUGAUGAACUGGCAAGACUUCCAUGGCAAUUAAACAUGUAUGUUACUCAUGUGCGUAGAGAUGAAAGGUUUCAAAACUUGAAGAAUCUGUGUGAGUUUUCAGUUAUGCUUGUCGAGACAAACAAGCAUGAACAAUACUAUAUUGUUUACAAGCUUCUUAAGUUGGUAUUAAUUCUGCCAGUAGCUACUGCUAGUGUUGAAAGGGUGUUCUCUUCAAUGAACUAUGUGAAGAAUAAGCUAAGGAGCAAAAUGGGUGAUGAUUACUUAAACAAUUAUUUGGUUACAUUUGUUGAGAGGGAAUUCUUCAAUCAAGUAAAGGAUGAGGAUGUCAUCAAUCUCUUCCAAAAAGGCGAUCGCAAAGUUAUAUUGUAA
rnacentral:rRNA from 1 species